UGAGGAGCUAAUGUGAUCUGGCAUGCCGUAAUACCACCACACACUGAAAAUCUUUCCUUUGUGUUGUGUGCAUGGUGAAAAAAACAGUCUGCAUUAAAAGGGUCAGUAGGCUACUCAUGGUUCCAGAUGGCUGCUUUAUAAACACACUUUUUUUUUUUCCCAGAGAAGAUUCAGAUACAAUUAUGAGAGCCAUAAUUCACUAGAGACUCCUCUUACUACUCUCUUGGAAGGUCUUUUGCCUGGAGGAAAUGUGAACUGUAAUCAUUCUUGCUUUUUUUUUUUUUUUGCGGCAUAUAUCUGGGUCAGAAAAAAUAAGCAAGCUGAAGAGAAUAACAAAAACACACACAAAGGAAUCUCCCCAUGUCUCUGUCCGUCAUCCAUUUCAUUCCGUCACCCUGUUGUGUUUAUCAAACCCGUGACCUUACCAGCUGAGCUACAGGAAUGGCAAGUUCAGUUAAUUUGUUUGUUAGAACAAUACACUGAACUACGAGAAUACUUGAUUGACCUGAACUACAAGACACAACCAUCUUCUUCUACACCUGGAAACAAUACCUUGCCAAAACUGAAUGACACUGCACUGGUUUUGAGAUGAGUCAAGGACAGAUGCUGGGUGGACCACGACUGCAUCUGUUCAGUGUAUAUGCGCCAAAUUCAAGGGAAGAGUGAAGAACCGUUUGAAGCAGGAUCUCACCUGUGUGCUAGAGCAGAUGGGAUGGCCAGAGGAAACAGAGACAGGGUCAUUCCUAGAUCACUCACAGACAGGUUCACGACGAAAAAC